GAGCCAGCAUUGUAUAGUGGUCUGAGUGUUGGACUGUGACUCUGGAGGCCAGGGUUCGAUUCCCAGCUUGUCCA